UACGGAGGGUGCAAGCGUUGUUCGGAAUUAUUGGGCGUAAAGCGGGUGUAGGCGGCCUCGCAAGUCAGAUGUGAAAUCCCUGGGCCCAACCCAGGAACUGCAUUUGAUACUGCAUGGCUAGAGUCCCGGAGAGGGUGGCGGAAUUCCAGGUGUAGAGGUGAAAUUCGUAGAUAUCUGGAGGAACACCAGUGGCGAAGGCGGCCACCUGGACGGUGACUGACGCUCAGACCCGAAAGCGUGGGGAGCAAACAGG
rnacentral:rRNA from 1 species